rnacentral:lncRNA from 1 species
AAGUUAUAUAAUGUGGGGUGAACUGAGUAUACCCUUUCCGCUCAAAUAUCUGAGCAGCUCCUUUAAAGUUCUUAACAAACUCAAUCUGGCUCUCACACUUCGGCCCGCACUCAUCAUUGCUAUUUGUCCAGAAUUCAUACUCAACCCGCUCGUCCGGAUGUGGAAGAGACUCCCUCCAAUCAAGAUUUAUGUUAACCAUGUCACCCUUAGAUAGAGCAUUCUUGAUACUGUCCCCAAAAGAUUUGCUAAUAAGUGCUGAGGGAAUUGUUAUGUUCUGAAGAUAAUCAGCAUGUGCAUUCUCCUCUUCAGGUGUGUCCAUGGUGAUUAAAGGUUCAAUCUUGUCAUCUGCGACUAAAAUAGCAGCUGCUCCUGCAUUCUGAGCAUUCCAUGCCUUCAAGGUGAAGAAACAAUCUGCAAAACCAGCAAUCUCAAAAAUAAGAAUGCACUUCACCAGUAGACCAGAACAAUAUAAAGACACAUUGGAAAACCAUUGCAUGCAAGUCUCCCUUCAAAACUCUUUCAGCUGCCUUAGGAAUAUUUGGUUUAAGGAGUGACCAGUAUUUGCAUUUUCUUUUACACCAAGCAAAAAAUAAUCCCAAAAUCACGAAAAUGAAAUAUCAGAAGAAAAGCACAUAAACAAAUUAGUAUAGACAAAUUUUCACAAAUGAAAUCCAUUUGCAAAGAUCGAAUACCACUCAAGAUUUUAACUUAAUCUCCAUAGAAACAUGUUCACCAAUUAAAAACAUCAAAGAUCAAAAGUUGAGAUUCUCUAUUCAAGCAAACAAAUCUCAGUUCUGCAAAGUUAGGGAAUUCACACAACAUACAAAGACAACAAAUUCGUCUGGAACAACAUAACCAAAAGAAUUUGCAGUAGCGGUCAUUAAAAUAAGAUAAACUCACACCCGCCGACAGCAAUAUAUGAACCUUUUUCAGACAAGUUGCCUUACAAGCUUAAAAGAAAAAACUAAUUCUAAUCGAGAAAGGGAAAAGUAAUGAAAAGGUCACCUCCACGAUCGGCAAGAAGAAAGGUGGGUAACCCUCCAGGCUUCGAUUUGAAGGAAAUCUCGACAUCCUCGAAGCUCUUGCAAGCCUUUUGAUUGGCUUUGGGAUAAACCACAGUCCCAACCAUGGUUCCUCCAUACUGAGGAACUCCAAAGUUCCCAAUUGCACAUUCAUACACGUCCUUCAAUGACUCCGGAGAAGUCACUCUCAAGCUGUUCUUCUCCACCACAAACCUCCCCACGCACGACCCCCAUAACACAAACC